GUGAGUAGUUCAGAGUUUGAUCCUGGCUCAGGAUGAACGCUGGCGGCGUGCCUAAUACAUGCAAGUCGAACGAAGCACUUCGGUGCUUAGUGGCGAACGGGUGAGUAAAGAUAAGUAACCUACCCUUAACAGGGGGAUAACGAUCGGAAACGAACGCUAAGACCGCAUAGGUAAUCAAGUCGCAUGAUUUAAUUAUUAAAUAUCCUACGGGAUAGGUAAAGGAUGGACUUAUCACGCAUUAGCUAGUUGGAGAGGUAACGGCUCCCCAAGGCGACGAUGCGUAGCCGGCCUGAGAGGGCGGACGGCCACACUGGGACUGAGACACGGCCCAG
rnacentral:rRNA from 1 species